rnacentral:rRNA from 1 species
UACGUAGGGGGCUAGCGUUGUCCGGAAUCAUUGGGCGUAAAGCGCGUGUAGGCGGUCCGGUAAGUCCGCUGUGAAAGUCGGGGGCUCAACCCUCGAAUGCCGGUGGAUACUGUCGGGCUAGAGUGCGGAAGAGGCGAGUGGAAUUCCUGGUGUAGCGGUGAAAUGCGCAGAUAUCAGGAGGAACACCCAUUGCGAAGGCAGCUCGCUGGGACGUUACUGACGCUGAGACGCGAAAGCGUGGGGAGCAAACAGG